CACGUAGGGGACGAGCGUUGUCCGGAUUCAUUGGGCGUAAAGCGCGCGUAGGCGGCUCGGAAAGUCGGUCGUGAAAUGCCGGGGCUCAACCCCGGGACUGCGUCCGAUACUCCCGAGCUGGAGGCAGGUAGGGGAGAUCGGAAUUCCUGGUGUAGCGGUGAAAUGCGCAGAUAUCAGGAGGAACACCGGUGGCGAAGGCGGCUCUCUGGGCCUUACCUGACGCUGAGGAGCGAAAGCGUGGGUAGCGAACAGG
rnacentral:rRNA from 1 species